rnacentral:rRNA from 1 species
GAUGAACGCUGGCGGCGUGCCUAAUACAUGCAAGCCGAGCGAACAGACGAGGAGCUUGCUCCUCUGACGUUAGCGGCGGACGGGUGAGUAACACGUGGAUAACCUACCUAUAAGACUGGGAUAACUUCGGGAAACCGGAGCUAAUACCGGAUAAUAUAUUGAACCGCAUGGUUCAAUAGUGAAAGACGGUUUUGCUGUCACUUAUAGAUGGAUCCGCGCCGCAUUAGCUAGUUGGUAAGGUAACGGCUUACCAAGGCAACGAUGCGUAGCCGACCUGAGAGGGUGAUCGGCCACACUGGAACUGAGACACGGUCCAGACUCCUACGGGAGGCAGCAGUAGGGAAUCUUCCGCAAUGGGCGAAAGCCUGACGGAGCAACGCCGCGUGAGUGAUGAAGGUCUUCGGAUCGUAAAACUCUGAUAUUAGGGAAGAACAAAUGUGUAAGUAACUAUGCACGUCUUGACGGUACCUAAUCAGAAAGCCACGGCUAACUACGUG